UACGUGGGGUGCAAGCGUUAUCCGGAAUUAUUGGGCGUAAAGAGCUCGUAGGCGGUUUGUCGCGUCUGCUGUGAAAACUGGAGGCUCAACCUCCAGCCUGCAGUGGGUACGGGCAGACUAGAGUGCGGUAGGGGAGAUUGGAAUUCCUGGUGUAGCGGUGGAAUGCGCAGAUAUCAGGAGGAACACCGAUGGCGAAGGCAGAUCUCUGGGCCGUAACUGACGCUGAGGCGCGGAAGCGUGGGGAGCAAACAGG
rnacentral:rRNA from 1 species